rnacentral:misc_RNA from 1 species
AAGUCGUAACAAGGUUUCCGUAGGUGAACCUGCGGAAGGAUCAUUAUCGAGUUUUUUGAAGUGGGAUUUUGAUGCUGGCCAGUUUCGCUGGCAUGUGCUCGGUCCCCGCUCAAAUCCAUCCAACCUCUGUGCACUAAUUCGAAGUUUUGCAAGUCCCUGGAAGUCGACUCUCGAGUCGAAGUAAGGGGAGUUCGCGAGGCUUCGAGCUUUUCAUACAAACUACUAUUAUUGUCUUGUCGAAUGUAUAACUAUUAUAAAAUACAACUUUCAACAACGGAUCUCUUGGCUCUC